rnacentral:misc_RNA from 1 species
UUAUGGUCCAUUCUGAGGGAUUUCUGAGCAAAAGGUGGAUUCAUUGCUCAAGUUUGUAUUAUCACACCAAAAACUUACCACUUGGCUAGAGGUAGACUUUGUUUAUCAAGAAGAAAUUUGGCUAACUAUAAUCCUUAAUUACCAUUUUGAAAUGGAUGGGGAUAGAAAUGACACCCGUAUCGCUCAGAAAUCCCUCAGAAUGGACCAUAAAGUUCUACACAUUUGGUGGGGGCCAAAUCUUUGAAAAUAGUUCCUCAACUCGCCUUGAUUGAUCAGCAUAACCAUCCAGACCAGCAGCCAGAAGCUCAACCGCAGCAGGGCCCAUAGCUGAUGCAAGGCUUAAUUGGUCCCAUUUUGCUACCUCUUCUUCACUGAAAUUGUAGGCAGCAGCAGAUUGUGGUGAUAACUUCUGAACAAAAGAGUACUUCUCAUCAGCAGUAGUGACGGACUCAUUGAGAGACUGCAAUACCUUCAAUGGUGCAAUGAUAUAGUCAACCCCCAAAAGACUGAAUAAAUCUUGUUUGUUCCGAACUGCUGCUGCCAUCAACUUUGAUUUAUGUCCAUAUUUGUGGAUGUAAUUAUAAGUUUUUGUCACCAAAGACAAACCAGGAUCUUCCCCUCUUUUUAGAGCAGCAUCUAUCUCAAGGUCACCAGAAUGGUUGCGUGCCCAAUCCCUGAUGCGUCCAACAAAAAUCUGUAUAACAGAAGCACCAGCUUGGGCUGCAGCUGCAGCUUGAGCAAAGCUGUAAACAAAAGUCAAAUGCGUCUGUAUGCCCUCAGAUUCCAGCAAUCUUGAGGCCUCUAUUCCUUGCCAAGUUGAAGGAAUUUUGAAUAACAAACGCUCUGGAGGAACAUUAAUUUCAUUGUACAACUUCAUUAAGGAAUGCACCUUCCCAAUAAUGCCAUGAGUGUCAUAAGCCAACCGUGCAUCCACUUCAGUUGAAACUCGGCCAGGUACUAAUUUCACCAGAUCACCUCCAACAUUAACUAAAGCUUUGUUAGCGAAACAGGACAAUUUCAAUUCAGCAUUUUCCAGAGCAGCACACCCUGAAUCCGCCAAAGCCAUAUCCACAGCAUUUCUGAAUAUCGUAUCAGGGAGACUCAAUAUACCCAAAAGAAGCGAAGAGCUAACAGUAGCAGCAGUUGGAGGGAACUUCUCGAAAUCAUCGAAAAUGACUGUGUCAGGAACGAUCUCACUGAAUCUAGAUACAGCAUCUAAUUCA